UGUGACCUCUGAGCAGCUCCUCGGAGCCGGGCUCAGCGGUAAGGUGCACAGUUCGCCUUUUGCCUGCCUUACGGUGUUUGUCACCUUUUUUUUCCUGCAGCUGAGCUCCAAAGAUGGUGCGCUACUCGCUGGAUCCGGAGAACCCCACCAAGUCAUGCAAGUCCAGGGGCUCCAACUUGCGUGUGCACUUCAAG